rnacentral:rRNA from 1 species
GUUGCAUCGGUCAAGUGAACAAGGGUCUAUGGUGGAUGCCUUGGCGUUAAGCGGCGAUGAAAGACGUGACUACCUGCGAUAAGCUUCGGUAAGGCGGUAAGUAGCCUUUGACCCGGAGAUUUCUGAAUGGGGAAACCCAAUCUAAUUUAUUAGAUUACUCUCAUCUGAAUAUAUAGGAUGAGUAGAGCUAACGGGGGGAAUUGAAACAUCUUAGUACCCCUAGGAAAGUAAAUCAAACGAGAUUCCCUGAGUAGCGGCGAGCGAAACGGGAAAAGCCCAAACCAGUCAACUUGUUGGCUGGGGUUGUAGGACUGCAAUGUGGUAUUGACAAUGUAUAGCGGAACAAGCUGGAAAGCUUGGCCAUAGUGGGUGAUAGCCCCGUAUGCGAAAUACAGAGUCAGCCUAGCAGUAUCCUGAGUAGGUCGGAGCACGUGAAACUUUGACUGAAUCUGGGGGGACCACCCUCCAAGGCUAAAUACGACUUAACGACCGAUAGUGAACCAGUACCGUGAGGGAAAGGUGAAAAGCACCCCGAUGAGGGGAGUGAAAUAGACCUGAAACCAUGGACCUACAAGCAGUGGGAGCUCUAUGUUCUUAGAUUCGUCUUUGGACAGGGUGACCGCGUACCUUUUGUAUAAUGGGCCAACGACUUAUGGCUCAGUGGCAAGGUUAAGCUUUAAAGCGAAGCCGUAGCGAAAGCGAGUCUUAAUAGGGCGAAUUAGUCACUGGGCAUAGACCCGAAGCCAGGCGAGCUAUCCAUGAGCAGGUUGAAGCGGUGGUAAGACAUCGUGGAGGACCGAACCCACAUUGGCUGAAGACAAUGGGGAUGACUUGUGGAUAGGGGUGAAAGGCCAAUCAAGCCUGGCAAUAGCUGGUUCUCUCCGAAAGCUAUUUAGGUAGCGCCUCAUGUAUCACCCUCGGGGGUAGAGCACUGAAUGGGCUAGGGCCCUUCACCGGGUACCAAACCUAAUCAAACUCCGAAUACCGAGGAGUGCAAUCAUGGGAGACAGACGAUGGGUGCUAACGUCCAUUGUCAAGAGGGAUACAACCCAGACCAACAGCUAAGGUCCCCAAGUGUAUGUUAAGUGGGAAACGAUGUGGAAAGGCACAGACAGCCAGGAGGUUAGCUUAGAAGCAGCUACCCUUUAAAGAAAGCGUAAUAGCUCACUGGUCGAGUCGGUCUGCGCGGAAGAUAUAACGGGGCUCAAACAUACCACCGAAGCUUUGGGUGCAAUUUAUUGCACGGUAGGAGAGCGUUCUGUAAGUCGAUGAAGCCAUACUGUAAGGAGUGGUGGAGAUAUCAGAAGUGAGAAUGUUGGCAUAAGUAGCGAUAAAACGGGUGAAAAACCCGUUCACCGAAAGCCCAAGGAUUCCUGCACUAUGCUAAUCAGAGCAGG